GAGAAAAAAAAACCGAGAGAAGGAAAAGUAACUUUCGAAGGUUUGGAAGCCCUACCCAAUGGAAUGUUCCGCAUUCGGCUAGAGAACGACACCAUCAUCCUAGGCUAUAUUUCAGGAAAGAUACAUUCUAGUUCUGUACGAAUACUGAUGGGGGAUAGGGUCAAAAUUGAAGUAAGUCGUUAUGAUUCAAGCAAGGGAAGUAUAAUUUAUAGACUUCCCCAUAAGGAUUCGAAGCAUAUCGAAUACUCGAAGGAUAGCGAAGAUUUGAAGGAUAGCGAAUAUUUGAAGGAUACCAAAGAUUCAAAGGAUUAG
rnacentral:rRNA from 1 species